UCUCUCGGCGCUUGCAUUGCACUCGCUGUUGCAGCCUGUAACCCUGAAAUUGAUCUUAUCUUGAUUCUUUCAAACCCAGCUACAUCAUUUGGAAAUUCUUCGCUGCAACAUCUUGCUCCCCUGAUUAAUGUCUUGCCACACCAACUUGAUCUUGCCUUUCUUUCCGUGUUGAGCUUGAUUCCAGCUGCAUAAAAACAAAGCUCUAU